rnacentral:tRNA from 3 species
GGCCCGCUAGCUCAAUCAGGCAGAGCAACUGACUCUUAAUCAGUAGGUUCUCGGUUCGAUUCCGAGGCGGGUCA